rnacentral:sRNA from 1 species
UUUUAAAAAUAGUAGAGGCUAGAGACACAUAUUUAGAGGUGUCAAAAUGGGUAACCCAACUCAACCCAACUCAUAAUCAAAUGAGUUUAGAGUUAAAUGAGUUAUGUGUUAACUCAACUCAUUUUGUUAAAUGGGUUGGGUCAACUCAUAACUCAUUUAAUUUGAUGGGUUGAGUUGUUAAAUGGGUUAACCCAUUUAAUUAAUA